CCUACGGGUGGCAGCAGUGAGGAAUAUUGGUCAAUGGGCGGGAGCCUGAACCAGCCAAGCCGCGUGAGGGAAGAAGGUACUGCGUAUUGUAAACCUCUUUUGUCAGGGAACAAAGGCGGGGACUAGUCCCCGGAUGAGGGUACCUGAAGAAAAAGCAUCGGCUAACUCCGUGCCAGCAGCCGCGGUAAUACGGAGGAUGCGAGCGUUAUCCGGAUUUAUUGGGUUUAAAGGGUGCGCAGGCGGCCUGUUAAGUCAGCGGUAAAAGUCCGGGGCUCAACCCCGGCGAGCCGUUGAAACUGGCGGGCUGGAGUUGGAGAGAAGUACGCGGAAUGCGCGGUGUAGCGGUGAAAUGCAUAGAUAUCGCGCAGAACCCCGAUUGCGAAGGCAGCGUACCGGCUCCACACUGACGCUGAGGCACGAAAGCGUGGGGAUCGAACAGGAUUAGAUACCCGAGUAGUC
rnacentral:rRNA from 1 species